GCGUGAGGUGAUCAACGCAUUUAUGCAAAGCUCGAUUUAGGCAGCGUGGUCUUAAAAGUCACAAGUGACGGCUGUGAAUUUUGAAUAUAUAUAUAUAUAUAUAUAUAUAUAUAUAUAUAUUUCAGCACCCAUUGAUGGCUUAAUUUAUAAGAGGAAAAUGGAGAAAAGAGAUGAGUGUGGUGUCGUGUUUGAGGUGAACGGCGAGAGAUUUGCGGUGGCCGAAGUUGAUCCCUCCACCACUUUGCUCGACUUCUUGCGCUCCGCCACUCCUUUCAAGAGCCUCAAGCUCGGCUGCGGCGAAGGUGGGUGUGGAGCUUGUGUGGUGGUGGUGUCGAGAUUCAACCCUGUGCUUAAGCAAAGAGAGAUUUUCAGCGUGAGUUCUUGCCUGACUCUUGUCUGCAGCGUCAAUGGCUUCUCCAUCACCACAAGCGAAGGCCUCGGAAAUAGCAAAGACGGCUUCCACCCAAUCCACCAAAGGUUUGCCGGAUUCCACGCCUCUCAAUGCGGCUUCUGCACUCCCGGAUUCUGCAUGUCGUUUUUCUCAGCGCUCGCCAACGCCGACGCAACUCCUCCUCACGCGCCGCCGCAGCCCCCCCGCGGAUUCUCCAGCCUCACGCUCUCUCAAGCCCAAACGGCUAUAACAGGAAACCUCUGCCGAUGCACCGGCUACCGCCCCAUUGCCGACGCCUGCAAGAGCUUCGCCGCCGAUGUAGAUCUCGAGGAUUUGGGGAUCAACUCUUUCUGGAAAAGGGGCGAAGCUAGGGUUAGUAAAUUGCCACCGUACAAUCCAGAAGAGGAUGUUUGUCCAUAUGUGCAACAAUGUCGAGAGGAAUGUGAGUCGAUUUUGAACUCUGAGAGGCUUUCUUGGUUCACUCCGGUUAGUCUGGAGGAGCUCGGCAGCUUGUUGAUCACCGGAGAUGGCGCCUCCGUCAAGCUAGUUGUCGGGAACACGGGGACGGGGUAUUACAAAGAGACAGAAAAGUAUGACAGAUACAUUGAUCUUAGGUACAUUCCGGAGCUCUCAAUGGUGACAAGGGAUGCCUCCGGGGUUGAAUUCGGAGCAGCUUUUCCGAUUUCAAGAGUUAUAUCGUAUCUCAAGGAGGAAGGGAAAUCCAGCUUAGUCUUGGAGAAGAUAGCUGAGCAUAUGGAGAGGGUUGCUUCCAUUUUCAUCAGGAACUCAGCCAGCAUAGGGGGGAAUUUGGUGAUGGCACAGAGGAGAUCUUUCCCUUCAGAUAUUGCUACAUUGCUUCUUGCUGUGGGCUCGACUCUAGCUCUUUUGAGAGGCCGUGCACGGGAAAGAAUCACGAUGGAUGAGUUCUUGUACGGCCCACCUCUCGCCCCUGAAGACGUGCUCCUGAGUGUCCACAUUCCUUUCUUGGAUUGUAGUGCGAGUGAUUCGAGAUUGGGGUUUGAGAGCUACCGAGCUGCACCAAGGCCGCUUGGGAAUGCAUUGCCAUACUUGAAUGCUGCUUUCUUGGCUGAUGUUAGCUUUAAAGAGGGUGGUGGUGGUGUUGUGAACUAUGCUCGGCUGGCUUUUGGCGCUUAUGGGAUAGACCACGCGACGAGGGCUAGGGAAGUGGAGGAGUAUCUGGCAGGGAAAACACUAACUGUUGAAGUUUUGUAUGAAGCACUUACAUUGGUGAAACGUGCUGUUGAACCUGAAGAUGGAACGUCGUAUCCUGCUUACAGGAAGAGCUUAGCAGCGAGUUUCUUGUUUUCGUUUCUCACUACGUUUGUUGAUGUCUCUUCUCCCACAUUUGGUGGCUCACUGUCGGAGGUAGCUGCAUUGGUCUCAUCUGCAAAACAGUCUGUUGAGUCUAGUGAUUACUAUCCUGUUGGUGAGCCUAUCCCCAAAGCUGGAGCUGUCAUCCAAGCUUCUGGUGAAGCUGUGUACGUUGAUGACAUUCCUUCGCCUCCACAUUGUCUGCACGGAGCACUUAUUUGUAGCACGAAGCCUCUAGCUCGAGUGAAGGGUGUCUCCUUCGAGAGUGUCCCAAAACCGAGUGGAAUUGUUGAUGUUAUCUCUGCCAAAGACAUCCCCGAAGGAGGAGAAAAUAUAGGAGCCACGGCCUUCUUUGGUUCUGAAUAUUUGUUUGCUGGUGAUACGACCGGGUUUGCUGGUGAUAUAAUCGCGUUUGUGGUUGCAGAUAGACAAAAGGAAGCCAACCUUGCUGCAAGAAUGGCUCAAGUGGAUUAUGAGACAGAAGGCUUAGAUCCACCAAUCUUGACCGUUGAAGAUGCUGUCGAAAACUCAAGUUUCUUCGAUCCUCCUCCUCCUCGUUACGAACCUUACUUAAAGACGGAAGUGAUUGGUGAUUUCUCCAAAGGAAUGGCUGAAGCUGAUCACAAGAUUCUCUCUGCAGAGAUUAUACUUGGUUCUCAAUACUACUUCUACAUGGAGACGCAAACAGCGCUUGCGAUCCCAGAUGAAGACAACUGCAUGGUGGUCUAUAGUGCAGUCCAAUCCCCUGAGUUUACUCAAAUUUCCAUUGCACGAUGUCUUGGUGUCCCCGAGCACAAUGUUCGUGUUAUUACAAGACGACUAGGUGGAGGCUUCGGUGGAAAGUGUCAACGAGCAAUGAAGGUAGCUACAGCAUGUGCACUUGCAGCUCAAAAACUACGGCGACCAGUCAGAAGCUAUAUAGAUCGAAACACUGACAUGAUAAUCGCAGGUGGGAGACAUCCUAUGAAGAUAACCUACAGCGUUGGAUUCAAGUCCAAUGGCAAGAUGACAGCACUUCACCUCGACAUACUUAUCGAUGCAGGCUUCUUUAUAGACUUCAGCCCCUUCAUCCCACACAUGAUAGUUGCAGGAGUGAAAAAGUACAACUGGGGAGCUCUCUCUUUCGACAUAAAACUAUGCAAGACCAACAAUACCAGCAAAUCAAUGGUGCGGGCCCCAGGCGACGUGCAGGGGAGUUUCAUCGCUGAAGCUAUAAUAGAGCGCGUCGCGUCUGUGCUGUCAAUGGAGCCCUUCUCAGUCAGAGAAAUCAAUUUUCACACACACGAGAGCCUGCAACUGUUCUAUGCUGAUGCUGCUGGGGACUUCUCGGAGUACACUCUGCCUCGUAUUUGGGAUCAGUUGGUUAAAUCAUCGUGCUAUGUGGAGAGGAUUGCAUCGGUACAGCAGUUUAAUCGUUCUAACAUGUGGCGCAAAAGAGGCAUUUCUUGCGUGCCGGUUGUGUAUGAAGUGGUAGUGAGUGGGUUCCCGGGGAAAGUAAGCAUCCUUAAUGAUGGAUCUGUCGUUGUAGAAGUUGGAGGCAUAGAGAUGGGGCAAGGGCUUUGGACAAAGGUUAAACAAGCGACUGCCUAUGCUCUCGGCUUGAUCCAAUGUGAUGGAACGGACGACCUACUUGAAAAAGUUCGAGUUGUACAGUCAGACACGUUGAGCCUAGUACAAGGAGGCUUAACUGCCGGAAGCACCACGUCUGAAGCAUGCUGUGCAGCUGUGAUCGAAUGCUGUAAUGUUUUAGUUGAAAGGUUAAGCCUUCUUGCCACAUCGCUGCAAGAGCAACAGGGUUCAGUCCAAUGGAAUGAUCUGAUUCUUGAGGCACGUAAUCAGUCUAUAAAUUUGGCAGCAAAUUCCUACUUUGUUCCUGAGCCUAGUUCUACAAAAUACUUGAACUACGGUGCUGCAGUAAGCGAGGUGGAGAUAUGCGUCCUCACAGGCGAAAAAUCUAUACUGAGAACAGAUAUCAUCUACGAUUGUGGGCAGAGCUUGAACCCUGCUGUUGAUUUGGGACAGAUUGAAGGAUCUUUCAUUCAAGGAGUGGGUUUUUUCAUGCUUGAAGAAUACUUGACUAAUGAAGAGGGACUGGUCACUACAAACAGCACAUGGACUUACAAGAUCCCGAGCCUCGACAACAUUCCCAAGCAGUUCAAUGCUGAGGUGCUCAACAGCGGACGUCACCCAGGCCGCGUGCUCUCGUCUAAGGCUAGUGGCGAACCUCCUCUGCUUCUGGCAGUUUCUGUGUACUGCGCUACAAGAGCAGCUGUGGUUGAGGCUAGAAAACAGCUCAAAGCUUGGGGAGCCACGCAAGGGACUGAUUCCGAUUUCCAACUCGAUGUUCCGGCUACUUUGCCCGUCGUUAAGCAAUACUGCGGCCUCGAUUAUAUCGAGGCCUACUUGCGCAACUUGCUUGCUCCUUUUUGAAGCUGCGUCGCCAUUGCUUCGUUUGGCCUCGUCGUCGGCAUCAUCUUCUAUAGGUUGUGUUGCAGAGGUGAGGGUAAAGAAGUUUACAGCAACAACAACAAAGGUAAUGAUCGGUAUGAAGAUGAUGAGAAUGGUGGUAUUGGUGCUAGUAGUUACAGAAGCAACAGCAGAAAAAGAAUGUGUGAAAUACAAAGACCCAAAACAGCCAUUGAUUGCAAGAAUCAAAGACUUGAUGAAGAGAAUGAGCCUUGAAGAAAAGAUUGGGAAGAAAACAAAUAUUUCAUUGGUAAUUCUUUUUUCUUUCUUUAUUAAUUUGAUCAACCAACAUCCCUAGCUACAAUAUUCAUGUCUUUAAAAUGAUAUGGUAAUAAUUAUCUUCUUUUAUACACGCCAAUGUAAAUAUGUAAUGAUGGUGUGGGAGAAAUAAAAUUGCAAUAGAUAAUUACAAAUUAAA